rnacentral:rRNA from 1 species
AUUGAACGCUGGCGGCAUGCCUUACACAUGCAAGUCGAACGGCAGCACGGGUGCUUGCACCUGGUGGCGAGUGGCGAACGGGUGAGUAAUACAUCGGAACGUACCUUAUCGUGGGGGAUAACGCAGCGAAAGUUGCGCUAAUACCGCAUACGCACUGAGGGGGAAAGCGGGGGACCGUAAGGCCUCGCGCGAUUAGAGCGGCCGAUGUCUGAUUAGCUUGUUGGUGAGGUAAAAGCUCACCAAGGCGAUGAUCAGUAGCUGGUCUGAGAGGACGAUCAGCCACACUGGGACUGAGACACGGCCCAGACUCCUACGGGAGGCAGCAGUGGGGAAUUUUGGACAAUGGGGGCAACCCUGAUCCAGCAAUGCCGCGUGAGUGAAGAAGGCCGUCGGGUUGUAAAGCUCUUUUGUCAGGGAAGAAACAGCAGCUCUAACACAGUCUGCGAAUGACGGUACCUGAAGAAUAAGCACCGGCUAACUACGUGCCAGCAGCCGCAGUAA